UUGUUGCACAAGAAGAACAUCGUCUGUUCUACCAACCUCUUUUGUUCACAGCCCGCUCUCGGUUACCGCUAAAAUACGGACAACGUGUAUCUAGCUAGUUACCGGGGAAUAACAUAAAGCUAGUAAACGUCAUACAGUGUGUUGUUUUGGGGUACUGCCGACUGCUUUGAAACUAAGUGAAUGAAAGCUUUGCAGAACGUGAGCGACAUGAGUUCCGACGCUAAGCCCGAGCCUAAAAAAGGCAAAAUGGAGAAUGAAAGCAAAUAUCUCCCGGAGCUUCUGGCAGAAAAAGACAGCCUGGAUUCGUCAUUUACUCACGCAAUGAAACUGAUAUCUGCAGAGAUUGAAAGGAUUCAGAAAGGAGAGUCAAAGAAAGAGGCAGAAAGAGAAACAUACUUGGACCUGUUUACCACAAAGAACAUCAAGGUCAAAGAACGUGUGCUAAUUCCCGUCAAGCAGUACCCAAGGUUCAACUUUGUUGGUAAGAUCCUGGGACCCCAGGGGAACACGAUCAAGCGACUCCAGGAGGAAACAGGAGCAAAGAUCUCUGUGUUGGGCAAAGGUUCCAUGAGAGACAAGGCGAAGGAGGAAGAGCUGAGAAAGGGCGGUGAGCCCAAAUAUGCUCAUCUGGGCAUGGAACUGCAUGUCUUCAUAGAGGUGUUUGCCCCAAUACCUGAGGCAUACCUGCGCAUGGCUCAUGCAAUGGACGAGGUCAAGAAGUUCCUCAUCCCUCAGGACACCAUGGAUGGUAUCUGCCAGGAUCAGUUCAUGGAGAUUGGCUACCUAAAUGGAGGUCAGGACUCACAAUCCAGGGGAAGAGGGGGCCCCCCAGGCAGGGGCAGGGGAGCACCCCCACCCAACUCUGCAGGAGCCAGGGGGCGAGGAAUGCCACCUCGUGGAGGAGCCCCUCGUGGUGGAGCUUCCCGAGGAGGGCCACCCAGGGGUGGGUCCACCAGAGGGGCUCCAGCUGGUCGGGGUGGACCCCCCUCCACACCUGCUAGAGGAGGCACAGCUCAACGUUCCAGACCCCCCGCACAAGGGAAUCAAAGGAUGCUCCCGUCCCCAGCCCACUCCCACCAGCAGCACCAUCAGCAGCACCAACAUGCGCAACCACCCAAGGCUGAGGCCUAUGAUGAAUAUCCUGCCUAUGAAGAAAGCUAUGCUGAGCCUGCAUAUGAAGGUUAUGACAGUUAUUACAGUCAACAACCUCCACAAGCGGAUACAGAGUACUAUGACUAUGGACAUGGCGAGGCUCAAGAGGCCUUUGAACCCUAUGCCCAGGACGAUUGGGAGGGUUCGUGGCCCACCACUGGAGGCAAAGCCCCUCCUGCAAGGCAGGAUAAGCGGGGGUCCUACAGAGAGCAUCCAUACGGAAGAUACUGAACGGCUCUGGUAGAGGGUUGCCCUGGCAACUGUCUCCCAUUGUAAAUCACUUUUAACUCUCUGAAGUAUUCCGAGUAAGUCCCUCUCUGGGUUUGAGAAAGGCAUCGGACUUGAGCUGAAUAAAGUCCUCUGGGUAAGUCGUCCAUUACUCUUCAGCAAUGUCAUGGAAUUUGACUGGCUAAAGCUGCUUUAGUAUUUUAGGUUUUACUAUUACAUAAAUUGAGGAAAACUGAUGAAACGAUGAGUGAACAAAGUCUGCUAUCCACCUGAGUAUUCCUCAUUUUGCGUGUGCUUGUUGAAGUUGGCCAGAAAGCUCCUAGUCCUCUUCACAACUAACUGCAAUGUUUUUGUAAUGGACCCUCAAGCUGAAUUUUGUCAGGGUCUUUACCAGCUGUAGUAGAAGAUCAAACCAGUGUUGUGACAAAGUACUUACUGCUAGACUGGAGGAAGGUGGGUGGAAAUGUUGGUGAUUUCCAAUUUUUGUUCUCAAUCAGGUUUUGGGAAGUGCUCCGUUUUUAGUUGCUCAACAGGGUGACUUGUGAAUUUAUCGUUUCAACAGGUAUAAUCCAGUGAAAGGCCUUGAAGACUGCACGGGUAACUUAAGCCUGGCAGCCCCAUGUUUUGUUUGGGGUUUAACUGUCAGGAUUGCCACAAGGCUUUUCUUACAGAAGAUAUGCCCAUCAGUUUGCUAUAAAUGAGGAUGUGUGUUCGCUCCAGCACUUAUGGAUAAUGGCACUCCCUGGAAUAUGGCUGCUUAAUGUCUGCAAGUCUCCAGAGAAAGAACAUGAGGCUUACAGUGCAUUCAACUUGAGAGGAUGAAGUAAAUGCACUGGUUCCUGACAAAGCAGCUUGGAGUAAGAGGAACUGAGUUGUAUUCUGGGAAAUGAUGCAGACAAUUACAUUGAUAGAAGGUACAAUCUGCAAUAUCAAAACUUAUCUACCCCCUAAAAUGAUAAUUGCUACAUUUCCUUGACUUUUAUUUUUUUACCUCGUUUUACUUGUUUUUUGUGAUUGUAAAAUUGUAGUUGCCUCAGGAAGGUCUUGAAUCAUUUCUGUGCAGAAUAACUUUCCUUUCUUAAAUAAAUCUCUAUUCUGAUUAA